rnacentral:lncRNA from 1 species
UAGAGACCUGAGCACAGAGCAGGAUAUGUACAUUGUAUCGUGCAGUACAGAGCUGUAACCCCGCAUGGAUAAUACCUGGUCCUUCCGAAGUGACUCGAGGUAAGCUGCAUCCUGCUCUUGUCUUAGCCGUAGAGCCGACCUCCUCCUCUCUUCUUCCUCAGCCCUAGAGGCUCUAAAUGCUGCAGCUUCCUCAUCAGCAGCCCUUGAGGGUCUAAAAGCCGCACGUUGCUCGUCAAUGGUUCUCUGUAAAAUCUCCACGAGCUCUGACGGUGUAACUGGCCCUUCUACCUGCAAGGAGAUAAGGUAUGUGCUGUUUCUUAAUAGUGCAAAGAUGAGGCAUCGGUCCAAUAAUUCAGUUAGUGCAUAUGGUCACAUGAUUCAUUCCUGGGAUCAUACAAAUGGAACAUUGCUUCUUCAUACAGUGCAUUCAACAUUUUUGACUUUUUUCUAGCUCAAUUCAACAUUAUUAACUUCGUACCUGUUGUAGGACUGUAAUGCUUUCAUUGGAGACUGGACCGACAACGGCACAGAAUGGGAAGCUACCGGGCUGCAGCGAUGCAACCAUGCCCAUCCCUUCUCCUCUGUUACUGACUGCUCCCCAG